GAUGAAGAACGUAGCGAAAUGCGAUAAGUAGUGUGAAUUGCAGAAUUCAGUGAAUCAUCGAAUCUUUGAACGCACAUUGCGCCCCUUGGUAUCCCGAGGGGCAUGCCUGUUCGAGCGUCAUUUCACCACUCAAGCCUGGCUUGGUGUUGGGCGACGUCCCCUUUGGGGACGCGCCUCGAAACGCUCGGCGGCGUGGCACCGGCUUUAAGCGUAGCAGAAUCUUUCGCUUUGGAAGUCGGGGCCCCGUCUGCCGGAAGACCUACUCGCAAGGUUGACCUCGGAUCAGGCAGGGAUACCCGCUGAACUUAAGCAUAUCAAUAAGCGGAGA
rnacentral:misc_RNA from 1 species